GCUUUCAUAGCUCAGUUGGUUAGAGCACCCGUUUAGUAAGCGGGAGGUCUUGAGUUCGACUCUCAAUGAAAGCAAAUAUUUAUUUUAUUUUUAAUUUUAUUUCAUAGCUCAGUUGGUUAGAGCACCCGUUUAGUAAGCGGGAGGUCUUGAGUUCGACUCUCAAUGAAAGCAAAUAUUUAUUUUAUUUUUAAUUUUAUUUCAUAGCUCAGUUGGUUAGAGCACCCGUUUAGUAAGCGGGAGGUCUUGAGUUCGACUCUCAAUGAAAGCA
rnacentral:tRNA from 1 species